rnacentral:lncRNA from 1 species
AGAACAGUAAAUGUCUGUAGAAUCGAAGGUGUGAGUGGUUACUGACAUUCGUUAGAACAGAACAGUAAAUGCUGUAGAACGAAGGCGUGAGUGGUUACUGACAUCUCUGUAAGAACAGAACAGUAAAUGUCUGUAGAAUCGAAGGUGAGUGGUUACUGACAUCUCUGUUAGAACAGUAAAUGUCUGUAGAAUCGAAGGCAUGAGAGGUUACUGACAUCUCUGUUAGAACAGUAAAUGUCUGUAGAAUCGAAGGUGAGUGGUUACUGACAUCUCUGUUAGAACAGAACAGUAAAUGUCUGUAGAAUCGAAGGCAUGAGUGGUUACUGACAUCCUGUUAGAACGAACAGUAAAUGUCUGUAGAAUCGAAGGCAUGAGUGGUUACUGACAUCUCGUUAGAACAGAACAGUAAAUGUCUGUAGAAUCGAAGGCUGAGUGUUACUGACAUCUCUGUUAGAACAGAACAGUAAAUGUCUG